GUGUUGAUGACGCAGGGGGUCCACCCGUUCCCAUUCCGAACACGGAAGUUAAGACCUGUAGUGCCGAAGAUACUUGGCUGGCGACGGCCCGGGAAAAUAGGAAGAUGC
rnacentral:rRNA from 1 species